GUGAAUCAUCAAAUUUUUGAACGCAAAUUGCACUUUCUUGUAUUCCGGAAAGUAUGCCUGUGUGAGGGUUAGUUAAAUAAAAAUCGGUGUUAUUGCUAUUAAUGGUGAUGCAUCGGAAUUGAGUCUUCUUUACUUUUGGUUUUAAGUGACUUAAAAUUAUGUACUAUUUCUGAACGUAUUUAAAUUAUUUACUUACUCUCAUGUUAUCACAUAUUAUGUCCCGGCAUCCACAUGAUUUCUCUCCUAUAAUUUUUCAUUAUUUAACCUUAAAUCAGGUAAGAAUACUCACUGAACUUAAUCA
rnacentral:misc_RNA from 1 species